rnacentral:lncRNA from 1 species
GCUGCCCCCGGCACCCGCUCCCAGCGCGAGGGCGGGCCGAGCAGCGGCGUUGGACUGAGCUGAAGGGUCGACGGGCGGGCGGCUAAUCCCGCGUCGCGGGCAGGGGAGCGGGGCUCGAAGCCGCGGGAGAGCCGCUGCUCCAGCGCCCCCACCCGCGCUCCUCGCCUCUCACGCUCCGCGCCGCCGCCACACGCCGCCUCACAGUCCCCGGGCCCGCCACCGCCUCCUCACGCUUCCAUCACCGCCCACCUCCGCCGGCCUCGAGCUCCCGCUCGGCAGAGCAGCGCCGGCCCGGGCGGCCUGAAGCCCGCCGCUGCCUCCGCCUCCACCGGCCGCUCGCGGAGCUGAAGGCGCUGCUUCCCGGGUCAGCGCCGCCCGCUGGCGGGCGGCGGGCGGACCGUGCGCUCUGCUCCUCCGCUGUCUCCUGGCCCUGCUCCCGGCCGCCACAGCCUCCUCCGCGCCCCACACCAGGUGCUCGCGCUGUGUCUCCAUCCUCCCCGCAGGAGGACCUUUAAAUAGCAACGUCAGCGCGCUCCUCUCCGCACACACGUCACCCGCCGCUCUCGUCACCCGGGUGCGGGGGAUGAUGUCACGCGGCCGGAAGUACUGCUAAAUUAGGGAAGGAGCAGGGGGAGGAGGACUCGGUGAGCAGCUCUGUGCCCACCUGCUCUCGCUUCUCCUUAAAGGCCAAAGCACAGGAGACAGCCCUAGAGGAGCUCCGAGAAGGAAGCGGCGGGAGAUUUCCUUGCAACAAAUGUGCCAAACACAAGUGAAUCAUUCGUAGCAAUAGUGCCGAAGUGUCAAGCGGGUGAUAUCCUAUCUCCCACUCCCACCUUUCGCAGCAUCCCCAAGCUUCUCAAGUUUCAACUAGCACGGAAAUGUGGGAGGAGAGCCUGAUCACUGGUGGUAGAUGUAUUUCCAACAAGACUUGGGAAAAAGCAUCUUAAUUUUUGAAAGAGUUAUUAAAUGCCAUUCUGAACAUAGUAGACUUUAAAACUUUUUCCCCCCAAUUAGUGGUUACCCACAUCACGAAAGAAUAAAGAGCAGAACUAUGAACA